rnacentral:rRNA from 1 species
GAUUUCAUAAAUGUUUUUAAACUUUAUAAUUUUUUAAAAUGUUUAUGGGGAGUAAUACGCUUUCGUUUUUUAGGUUAUCUAGUUUUUCUUUUUUGGGGGGAAAUCUCUUUAUUUUUCUAUUUUGCUUUAAAGUAGUGUUUUUUUUAAUAGUAAAUGAUUGUGUAAUAACUUAAGUAGGUCUGAUAAUAGAAAUUUAUUUUUUUUUUCAAGUUUAUUUAUUAAUUAGUGGAUUAGUAGAAUUUUUGUAUAUAGGUUUGUGUUUAAUAAAAAUUUAGUUAAUAAAAGUUAUUCAAAUUUACUGAUUUUUUCUUAGACUGGUUAAUAAAAUCUUAGCUAUAGGGUUUAUAGUUAUUUCUGCUCUAUGCUUUUAAAUAGUAAAUGGCUGUUUUUACACUAAGGUAGCAAAAUCAUUAGUUAUUUAAUUGAUAACUUGUAUGAAUGAAUUUUCUAAGAAGAUAUUAUAUUUUCUCUUUGAAUUUAUAAAUUUGUUGAAAAUAACAAUAUUCCCUACAAGACAAAAAGACCCUAAAAUUUUUAUAACUUAAAGAAGUUAUUUGGUUGGGGUAAUAAAAAAAAAUUAAUAUUAUGUGAUUUAUUUUUUCUUGGACUUUUUUUAUUGAAAAAAGGUAAAAAUACUUUAGGGUUAACAGCUUAAUUAUUUCUAGGAGCUCUUAUUGUUGAAAUAGUUUUAGACCUCGAUGUUGGAUUGGGAGAACUUUUUGGGGCAG